ACUUUGUGGAGGUGCCUAGGCGGUGGACUCUCGCCUGUCUUCUCUGUGGGAUCCACGGGAUAGUCCCAUGAUCCUAGGAGAGGGCAGACGUGAGCCAGCCUGAAGAAACGCCAAGCAGGAGCCCCAGGAAUAAACCGCAAAAUCCCUAAGGAUCCAAAAGGAUCUGCAGGAUGCCUCAGGCCUGCCUAGUCAUCGUAGGGAUAUGGACACUAUUGAUGGGAGCGGCUGGCCAUCUGGAGUGGCAGUUGCCAUCAUGCCAGUAGCGCUUGGGCCGCAUGGGCAGUGUUGUCAGGAGCAGCAGCAGGAGCAGCAGUGGCGGUGCACUAUUCACAAUAGCCAAGAUAUGGAAUCAACAUAAGUGUCCAUCAACAGAUGAAUGGAUAAAGAAAAUGUGACAUACAUAUAUAAUGGAAUACUAUUAAGUUAUAAUAAAGAACAAAAUCCUGUCAUUUGUGGCAACAUGAAUGCAACUGGAGGGCAUUAUCUUAGGUGAAAUAAGCCUGGCAUAGAAAAAUAAACACCACAGGCCAGGCACGGUGGCUCACGCCUGUAAUCCCAGCACUUUGGGAGGCCGAGACAGGCGGAUCACGAGGCCAGGAGAUCGACACCAUCCUGGCUAACACGGUGAAACCCCGUC
rnacentral:lncRNA from 1 species